UUGAGUAUGUUUGGUCUUUCCCUGUCUGGCUGGAAUGGCAGUUUGAAGAUGUUUAGUCUAUGUUUGCCUCCUGUCUAGCCAGGGCACUUGCAGUGGUUUUUUCCCCUAGCCUGGUAAGUUCCCUGUCAGUUCCGGGUUUCUCUCUUUGCUAUGGGUUUAUGCCUUUCCCAUCUUAGCUUCUGACCUAACCCCCACCCCGAUUUCCCGCUCUCUCUUACGCAAAAGCCGCUGUUUUCUCUGCCUCCCGGCUCUGUGCCACUGUCUGCCCUUCCAGCUGCACGGCUCCCGCGCUCUGCCGGAUCCCGUGCCCCGCCGGCUCCCCCUCCGCAGCCGGCACCCCUCUCCGCCCGGGAAAGGAGGUCACCCCGCGGGGCAUCGGCCGCCUGGCUCCUGCCCGCGCCGCCGGCACCGCUGAGCCUCCUGUGAGCCACGGCUCCUGGCGAGAGGGGGAUCGCUCACACGAGCACCGCUGCUGCCAGCGCCGUGAGGAGAGAGACUGUCCCCGCCGCCAGGAGAGAGACUGUCCCUGCCGUGAGGAGAGAGACUGUCCCCGCCGUGAGGAGAGAGACUGUCCCCGCCGUGAGGACAGAGACUGUCCCCGCCGUGAGGAGAGAGACUGUCCCCGCCGUGAGGAGAGAGACUGUCCCCGCCACCAGGACAGAGACUGUCACCGCCGCGCUGCCGCUGCCUGCGAGUGCUGCACCAUCUUCUCACGCCGGCGCUGCUGCCACCGCAGCAAAGAACAGCUCCUGUGCCACGCUGCCGAUUCCAAGCAGCGCCAUCCUGGCGCGGGACAGAAAUAAAGCGGCUCGGAGAAGCCAGCACGGGGUCGUUCCUUAUUUCCUUUACAAUGAAUCUCAGAGGCUGAGCCCGCGUUUCAGCAGCCGAAGCGUGACCCUGCCGGCCGGCGGCAGAGGUCGGGCACGGCCGCUCCUGGGCCUGCCCCGAUCGCCUGCAGGGAUUGGGGCACGCUGGUGCACACCUCAGCUGUCUGCAGGGCGCACGGACGCUGCUGCCAAGUGAAGUUCGUGCUCCGUCAAGCGCUGCCGGUGAAUUCGCACACUUUCUGCUUGCUGCAGCUCCCGGGAAAGUCAACCCCCUCCGUUCCAGACGUGAGAGGAGUUUUCCCCUGGUUCAAGGACUACCUCCGAGAUUUUCGUUUCAAGAAUCUUGGGUUUCAGUCCCGACACAGUUUGGCACUGGUGGGCCAAAGAGUCAGAACAACUCACACCAGAAUCCAGCCAGGCAAUCACCUGUGGUAAACAAUCUCCAAACACAUUCCACACGUGAGCACAGCACAGGAGAAGCCAAUGAGCAAUUAAAAUAAUUACACUCUGUCAAGCUACAUCUUUUCACCCUGAUUAAAGACAGAGCUGUAUGGAGCAAACACAUCAACUUGUCUGCUGACAGGUGAAAGAAGAAUGCAGAGCAUGUCUGAAACCAUACUGAUAACUUCCCAUUGAGUAGUACACAGGCUAAGAAUUCAUCCUGUAUGCUUCUUCUAGAAAAUAAACACUUUAUUAAGAAAAU